AAGAUAUACUCAUUAAUUGCCUCCAAGUGUUCAAGACUGCUUGGAUUUGAGGCAAGCAAGACCACUUGCUUAGGUAAAUUUUAUGAAGCAACAAAACUAAUAUGGUGAAGAAUUUUAACCCAAGGUGUAACUUAGGUUUCCCAUGUCUUCAAGAGAGCUGACAUUGCAUGUUACCAUCUAGCUGAUGUUACGCUCUGCUUUCUUGCUACUGCCUGCCUCUGCCUCUGUUUGUUUUUUUUUU
rnacentral:lncRNA from 1 species